CACAGUGAAAUAUGGUUUUUCCUCUUCUCCUGUAAUCUGUCAAAGGGCAGAGGUGCUUCUGGGUCUUGGAAACCUAGAGAAUCCACCACAUGGGCAGGAGUUUCACCAAAGAAGCUGUCUGUUGGCAAGGAAGGACUCUCUGAUCCAUUCAAGAGAACAGGGUACAAAGAUUUGGAUCAAGUCAGCCCAAAGUUGUCUGGACUUUGGCAGAAUUACAAAGUCCUUAUGAAGCAAGUCAGUCCUGGACACAGAGGAGACAAGGAUACAAGAAGAAACCACUCCCUAAAGCACCUGACUUGUUCUUUUUCAAAACUAGAAUAAAGGGCAAAUAAGAUAGGAGCUGAAGAGAUAAUUUAUCUAACAAAGCACUUGCAUUAAAAUCGCAAUGACCUGAUGAGUUUGAGUCUCAGAUCCCACUUAAAACUCCAAGGCAGUGUAGCACAUGUUUUCGAUCCCAGAUGGAAACAGUAAGACCAGGUGAUCUAGCCUAAUUGGUGAGCUCCAGGCCAAUGACAUGAUUCAAUAGUGUACCUGAAGCUGGCACCCAAGGCUGUCCCCUGGCUUCUCUGUAAGUGUGCACACACAACCAUGCAUGCACACAUAGCACACACACACACACACACACACACACGUAACAAUUUCUUCUGAGUUGGAACUUCCCACCCUGGGAUGAGAGUUGUUAAAGCUCAGGACAUUUUAAUUUGAAACAUUCCAUUCUGGAAGCUCCAUUAAUGAGUCUUAAGACUCAAGAAGAUCAUAACUUACAAGUCUCAGGGAGACCCUAGAAUUGACAUGAUUCACAGAACUGCUCCUUCCCUGAGGUUAUAAAAACAGUAAUGACUUCUGAAGAAAGGAGAUUCUGCACAGCCUUGCUGCCUGGAGAAGAGACUCCCCAACCCGUCUGACGGCUUGCAAGUUGUGUAGAAUUCAGGGUUGCAGCUUUCAUGAUUCCUACCGUAGGCUGGAUGAACCGCUCUGUGAUGCAGCCGCUUGUUCUGUUAGCAACUCUUCAUACAUGUCCCUGUGAGUAACCCCUCACCCAUACUCCUGUAUGUAACUACAGUGAAUAUUUUGCAUCAUCUAGUUGGAUUUGGUGGAAUUGUUAGUUUGGUUUGUCUUUCAUUUCUUGUCUAAGAUGAGUAGACGUUUGUUCACAUCUUCUGAGGAAA
rnacentral:lncRNA from 1 species